UGGGCGGGACCUUGGGUAUGCGGACCUGCCAGGGGCUUAAGGAGCAGGUUGUUGCUGGGCAAGACUGGACGUUAAUGAUCUUUGUUGCCAUCUGUAUUCUGAAUUCAAUUUCUGCCAUCUCAUUCUGUGGAAAAACCAUUGCUGGGGAACUAGUGUGAUCAUUUGAAGGCACAGGAAAAGGUCACAGGUCAAUCACUCCAGCAGAAUUGUAGAGGAACUCUUCAUUGGCCGGCAGAGGGGGCUCCUUGAAGAAGGUGGGAAUUCCUCCCAGGUUAAAAGUCCCUGUCUCCCUCAUCCAAGAGGAUUUUCUCUCUGGGAUCCCCUUCCACACACUCUCCCAUGGAAGCUUUCUCUCUUCCUCUCCUUUUUCUCUUUCUCUACCUAAAUAAAUCACUUUCUGCAAACA
rnacentral:lncRNA from 13 species